CCUGUGCUGGGUUGCUCUGUAUAAUACUAUUGUGAGCUUUUAGGGCAUCCAAGCAUUGAAA
rnacentral:pre_miRNA from 1 species